GUCUCGGGGUGCUCUCAACACAGGUGAUCUAGGCUGAGGAUUCCUGGCCAACGGUCUUCUCAUCUGAUGAGCAAGGGGAAACAAUCAUCUCUUCUUUGAGCAGACGACUGAAACUAUCCCUACCUCGGAGAGACAUCACAGGAACACAGGAAGCAGCUAUGCACCCUGCCAGAGUCUCCAACCAAAAGCAGGAGAAGCCAGAAGACAGAACAGGGCGUCUUCACCAAGCACAGGACCAGGAGAUUGUGUUGUUUCUUUG